CCCGGGAGCGCCGGAGCUGGAUAAAGCAGGUCCUGGACGCGGCCCCACGUGGCUGCUGUUCUACACCUUGCUUCCCGCGCCCCGCCCGGGUCUCCCGGAGAGGUGUGUGAAGAAUUUUAACAUUCCCAAUG
rnacentral:lncRNA from 1 species